rnacentral:lncRNA from 1 species
UUGUUGGGAGCGGUAGCGGAGCUCUUGAGCUUCCACAGCCGAGCGGGGUUGGGGUGCUGAACCCCGGGUUCCGUGGGGCGGAACAGGGAGGCAGGCUCCAACCCCCACACCUCACCGGAACAAUUCCACACAUGCGGCAGCCCGGCUGGGGCAGUGGGUGUCUCCUGGACCUCCCUUCAAUGCUUUCUUCUGCCCCGGAGUGCAGGCGAGAAAUGGGGGUGCCCGUGAGGGAGAGCGCGCCCCUGCGGGAGACCCCUUCACAGCGCCGCCAGCAGCCUUCUGUCCGGGCCUCAGCCUCCCCAAGCGGGAGGCUGCUGUCCAGAACCUCAGAAGGAGCGGGAAACCAGAGCCCUGGGGGCGCUGCCGAACCCCAUCCAUGUAGGAGCAGGGCCUGCGGAAAGUCAGUCUGAAAGUCAGUCAGCAUCGGACAUGUUGCUAGGAGACGCAGCUCCGGCCACAGCCCCCUGGGUGGGCUCCAGCAAUGGGCACGCGGAACAUCAGCUCCUGCCCUUAAGGAGUCACAGACAGGAGGGAGGCAGACACAGGCGGGACAGGGGAGCUCGUGGCCACAAGGCAAGGGCGCGGCCUGGGGAUGGCAGAGGGCGGCUUGGUUAGGGGCAGCCUGGGUAAGCUGGAACCCGUCAGAGCGGAAGAGGUGGUGGAGCUGUGUUUUUGUUCAUGUGCAUUUGAGAUUUUUUGGUAUUGUUUGUUUUUUGAGACAGUCUCACUGUGUAAUCCAGGCUGGGCUUGAACUUGCAGCGAUCCUCCUGCCUCGGCCUCCUGAGUGCUGAGAUCACAGGUGUGGGGCACCGUGCCUGGCUGAGAUGUUUCCACACAAAGACGCUGAGGAGGAGUUUGGGGCAGAGGAGUUUUGCCCAAGACCUCCCGGGUGGUGAUGGGUCCAGGAGAUCUGCUCAUGGUCAGAGGCCCUGUGCAGGCAUCUGGAGCCACUCUGAUUCCUGAGGGGACUUCCAGGUCACCAGGCCAGGGUGACACUCCGGACUUCUGGGCCUUUCAGGGAGCAUUCUGGACAGUGAUCCACAACGCAGUCCUCAGUGGGACAGGUGGGAAGCAUCGCGGACCCCAUCUCGGUGAGGAGACGGGUUCAGAGAGGUGCGUUCCCAUAUGGAGGACUGGACAUGAAGAUUGGACGACACACAGCUUGGGAAGGGCAGGAGACAGGGCUUCUCCACACGCCAUCUGCAGACUCCUGAGAUAGCCUGCCGGCUCCCUCUGCACUGUGACGUCACUGUGAGCACAGAGCACCACUGUGGCGAGAAAGUACACUUUGCUCUGGAGCCAUGGUACCGACGAGCACAAGACAGUGGACGCAGCAGCAGUGAUGGAAAGGGACAGGCUGAGCCGCUGCGGGGUCGCUGCUUCAUCUCCAGCUUCACUAUUCGAUAAUUGUCCUUCUGGUUUCCAAACCCUGCCCUAUGAACCGGGGACCUGGGCCUUUGGUGACUGUGAUGGGUGUGCAGACCAGCUGGACGUGGCUCUGUCCCCACCCCACCACCUCUCCCUUUCCCUCCAAGUAACAUCUCUUUGAACCCCUUGGGGAAAAGCCAGGGCAGCUGCAGAUGCCAGUCUCCUACACUGACCACAGCUUCCCUUUGCAGAGGCUACUGAAGACGUGGUGUUCCUCUAGGUGGCAGCCACCAUGGGUGACACUCACGGAGUGUGCAGGUGCAGGGCCAUCCCUGGCACACCUCUUGGCAUGGGACAGCUGGCUCUGUUUGCCUCGUCCAGCCCAGCAGGCCUGGUCCUGGUUCCCUUUUCUCCCAAGUGGCCACUGUCUCGGGCAGGGAAGCCACAAAAGAACUCAGCUCUUACAGCCUUGGAUGUGACCACUCUGUCACUGCUUGCCACCCUGUUCUCUUGCCUUUCCCAGAGAGGCCUGGCUGGAGCAGAUCAGCACACCCACUGUCCAAAGAGGUGACCAGCAGGAGAGAGAAGUGUGAGCAGCUGGGCGGGAGGAAGUGACCUCUUCCUGCCAACCCACAGCUUGGUGCCGGCUGUGGUUGCCUGGGUGGGAGGUGGGGCUGGGGUGAUGGCCCGCCCGAGUCCUCAUUGGAUGUCCAGUCCCAGGCCAGUGUGGAUUGCAGGGACCUUUAAAACACUUCUUCAGUUUUAACAGACACAGUAAGUGUACAUAUGUGUGGGGUGCAGUGCGACAUUCGUACACAUGUGCACGGUGCCAUGACCUCAGAUACGUAUCGUUUCCUUGUCCCGGGGCGCUGGAAACCCUCACCACCAGCUAUCCUGCAGUAAACAAUUGCUGCCGAGCACAGUUGGCUGCCGUGCCAUAGGAAGUAGAAGUUAUUCCUCCUAGGCCGCUAACAAUCCUCCCUCCACUGGGCCCACACCUAUCCCAGCCUCUGGCA